GAGUUAUCUGAACCUUCGGGGAACGAUAACGGCGUCGAGCGGCGGACGGGUGAGUAAUGCCUAGGAAAUUGCCCUGAUGUGGGGGAUAACCAUUGGAAACGAUGGCUAAUACCGCAUGAUGCCUACGGGCCAAAGAGGGGGACCUUCGGGCCUCUCGCGUCAGGAUAUGCCUAGGUGGGAUUAGCUAGUUGGUGAGGUAAGGGCUCACCAAGGCGACGAUCCCUAGCUGGUCUGAGAGGAUGAUCAGCCACACUGGAACUGAGACACGGUCCAGACUCCUACGGGAGGCAGCAGUGGGGAAUAUUGCACAAUGGGCGCAAGCCUGAUGCAGCCAUGCCGCGUGUGUGAAGAAGGCCUUCGGGUUGUAAAGCACUUUCAGUCGUGAGGAAGGUAGUGUAGUUAAUAGCUGCAUUAUUUGACGUUAGCGACAGAAGAAGCACCGGCUAACUCCGUGCCAGCAGCCGCGGUAAUACGGAGGGUGCGAGCGUUAAUCGGAAUUACUGGGCGUAAAGCGCAUGCAGGUGGUUUGUUAAGUCAGAUGUGAAAGCCCGGGGCUCAACCUCGGAAUUGCAUUUGAAACUGGCAGACUAGAGUACUGUAGAGGGGGGUAGAAUUUCAGGUGUAGCGGUGAAAUGCGUAGAGAUCUGAAGGAAUACCGGUGGCGAAGGCGGCCCCCUGGACAGAUACUGACACUCAGAUGCGAAAGCGUGGGGAGCAAACAGGAUUAGAUACCCUGGUAGUCCACGCCGUAAACGAUGUCUACUUGGAGGUUGUGGCCUUGAGCCGUGGCUUUCGGAGCUAACGCGUUAAGUAGACCGCCUGGGGAGUACGGUCGCAAGAUUAAAACUCAAAUGAAUUGACGGGGGCCCGCACAAGCGGUGGAGCAUGUGGUUUAAUUCGAUGCAACGCGAAGAACCUUACCUACUCUUGACAUCCAGAGAACUUUCCAGAGAUGGAUUGGUGCCUUCGGGAACUCUGAGACAGGUGCUGCAUGGCUGUCGUCAGCUCGUGUUGUGAAAUGUUGGGUUAAGUCCCGCAACGAGCGCAACCCUUAUCCUUGUUUGCCAGCGAGUAAUGUCGGGAACUCCAGGGAGACUGCCGGUGAUAAACCGGAGGAAGGUGGGGACGACGUCAAGUCAUCAUGGCCCUUACGAGUAGGGCUACACACGUGCUACAAUGGCGCAUACAGAGGGCAGCCAACUUGCGAAAGUGAGCGAAUCCCAAAAAGUGCGUCGUAGUCCGGAUUGGAGUCUGCAACUCGACUCCAUGAAGUCGGAAUCGCUAGUAAUCGUGGAUCAGAAUGCCACGGUGAAUACGUUCCCGGGCCUUGUACACACCGCCCGUCACACCAUGGGAGUGGGCUGCAAAAGAAGUAGGUAGUUUAACCUUCGGGGGGAC
rnacentral:rRNA from 1 species